GCCCGGCUAGUUCAGUUGGAGAAAUAUUGGGCUCUUGAUCUUGGGUUCAUGGGUUCAAGCCCCAUGUUGGGUG
rnacentral:tRNA from 1 species